UACAGAGGUCUCAAGCGUUUGUUCGGAUUCAUUGGGCGUAAAGGGUGCGUAGGCGGCGCGGUAAGUCGGGUGUGAAAUCUCGGAGCUUAACUCCGAAACUGCAUUCGAUACUGCCGUGCUUGAGGACUGGAGAGGAGACUGGAAUUUACGGUGUAGCGGUGAAAUGCGUAGAUAUCGUAAGGAAGACCAGUGGCGAAAGGCGGGUCU
rnacentral:rRNA from 1 species